UACGUAGGGGGCAAGCGUUGUCCGGAUUUAUUGGGCGUAAAGAGCGUGUAGGCGGCCAGAUAGGUCCGUUGUGAAAACUCGAGGCUCAACCUCGAGACGCCGAUGGAAACCAUUUGGCUAGGGUCCGGAAGAGGAGAGUGGAAUUCCUGGUGUAGCGGUGAAAUGCGCAGAUAUCAGGAAGAACACCCGUGGCGAAGGCGGCUCUCUGGGACGGUACUGACGCUGAGACGCGAAAGCGUGGGGAGCGAACAGG
rnacentral:rRNA from 1 species